rnacentral:rRNA from 1 species
AUGUGUAGUAUAAAGAAAGAUACACACCUGGCAGAACUUAUUCAAAAUACAUCUCUUAUUGUUUGGGAUGAAGCAUCGGUAAAUCAUAAAUAUUGUUUUGAAGCACUAGACCGCACUCUCAGGGAUAUAAUGUCAGAUACUAGACCUAAUGCUGAAAACAUGCAGUUUGGAGGCAUCACUGUAGUUCUUGGUGGGGAUUUUUGUCAAACACUUCUGGUAAUAAAACAUGCAACAAGACAACAAAUUUUAAAAUCUUGCAUUCUUAACUCUUAUUUGUGGAACCAGUGCACACUUCUUCAAUUGAAUGAAAAUAUGAGGCUGUCCUCAGCAUCUCUGUCCAUCUCAAAGAGAGGAGCAUUAAAGAAUUUUUUUGGGUGGCUAUUACGAGUUGGAAAUGGCACUAAGCCUUUUAUUCCUAUUCCAAAUGACCCCAACAACAUAUUUAUAGAGAUACCCCAGCAUCUCCUUUUGUCCGCAGAGUCUAGAAAUAUAGAUGGAUUGAUUUCAUUUGUCUAUGACUCAGGAUGUGAAUCUGCUAACAAUACAUCAUAUUUGUGUGAUCAUGCAAUUCUUGCACCCACCAAUGAUGUUGUUUCUAAAAUAAAUACCAGAAUGAUUUCUCAGCUACCAACAAGUGAAAUGUCAUAUUAUAGUGCAGAUUCAAUUGACGACAGCUGCCCUAAUCAUUCUUCUCUAGAGGUAUUAUAUCCGAUUGUGUUUCUAAACAAGCUUGAGAUACCUGGUCUUCCAGACCAUGUGCUGCAUUUGAAAAUUGUUGUUCCUAUCAUGCUACUUCGUAAUGAUCCAUCAAGAGGGCUUUGUAAUGGCACUAGACUCAUUGUUACACAACUAAUAGGUUGUGUAAUAGAAGGACAAACCAUAACAGGAAAAGCUAUAGGUUCAAGAGUAUAUAUUCCUAGAAUUUUCAGUACGUCAGCUCAGUCUAAGUGUCCUUUCAAACUGAGGCGUCGCCAGUUUCCUGUUCGCCUUUCAUAUGCUAUGACAAUAAACAAAAGUCAAGGCCAAACACUGAACCGAGUUGGUCUCUACUUGCCAUCUCCUAUUUUCUCCCACGGUCAAUUAUAUGUAGCAUUUUCAAGAGUUACAUCACCAGAGGGCUUGCGAGUUCUGAUUGAAAACAGUCCAGUUUCUUAAGAACAGUGCACACAUAAUGUAGUAUAUGCUGAGGUAUUCAGUCAAAUAAAUAGGCAUAGAACCUAG